AAAAAGUUGUGGUCACAAAACACACAACACUUCAUUCAAAAAAAAAACACAGCACUUCUCCAAAAACCACCAUGUGAGAGACUCGAGCAGGUAGCAGCUUUCUGCACUGGGGUCCAGCAUGUUCUGCCCUGCCAAAUCUGUAUAGACUGUAUUCUUUCAUGAAAAUUUAUAAUCGUGCAUUUUAACGAUAUGAAAUAAAUGUAAUACUCUUUUAAAAAUACUUUUUUUUUUUUUUUUUUUUGAUGAAUAACUCUUUUUAUUCAUAUCUAUCACUUGCUCUUUAUUAUUUGAUUGAAACCACAUGUAUGUUUCUUUAUCAACAUGCCUGUCAUGUACAAAGUCCUACUCCUGUCGAUCUUCUAACGGGAACGAACAAUGUUGUGCUUGUGUGGGUAGUGUAUGAGUGGGCAGGAUCUUGGACUGUAUUUGAUGGUAAUGGAAGGGAAUUUUGUUGGACAUGGGCAUUUUCUUAAAGGAGUUGUAGUACUAGUUCUAUCCACUUGGGUCCCAUAAUGCCCACACCUUCUUUGUUAGUUUUGUUGGCUCUCCACUUUUUUCGUUGAUGAGAUCCUCUCAAGGUAACCCUCUUCUCCCGCAGAAUCUAUCCGGCCUCCUUUAGUGUUUCUUUUUUCUCUCCUUUAACUUUGUUCUACCUCCUAUUAUUCUAUGCUGGGUCAACAAUUUUCUUGUGUGUCUGCUGUUUGUAUCUGAUUUUCAACUGAAGUUUUGGUUUCUUUCUUUGGAGGUGGGUUGGUUGUGGUCACAUGAAAGCUUUUGCUCAGGGUACCAAAGUCAUGUUAUGUUGUUUGUUCGGUUUUUGGUUUUUUUGGGCCAAAAAUUCCUGAUUUUGUCAGGUGGAUUGGUUUUGGGUACUUCUGAAUGUGUGUUUUCUCACUAAUUCUUCAUGUGGUCCUGGCUGCUUCUCUAUGAUUUUCGAUGAGGAUAUUUGUUUCUUUGCUGUGGGUUGAUCUUGGGCUGUUGGGCAGUUAUAAAGAUGUGAAUUCUUCAGAACAUGACUGAUGCGACAUGGUUAGUCAAUUUUAUGGUUGAAUUUGUCAUAAAAACUUCGUUUUGAAGUAGCUUUAUCCCAGGUACUUCUGGAGUCGUAUUUAGUGGACGAAACAUUUCAGGUCUUUUGGUUUGUGUUGUGGGUUUUGUGUGGGAAGAAUAGGAAAUGGGAUUUUGGUGUGAAGUUAGCGAGUGGAUUGAUUUUUUUUCUGUGGAGAUAGUGUGAAAACAGAGGAUGAGAGGGAGAAAAGACGAGGAAAAGUUGAUGACUCCUAUGUUUCCUAGACUUCAUGUAAAUGAUGCAGAGAAAGGAGGCCCAAGAGCACCUCCAAGGAACAAAAUGGCUCUCUAUGAACAGCUCAGUAUUCCUUCUCAAGGGUUUACCUCUGGAUCAGCAUCCACGUUGCCCAUUUGGCCCAGUAACGGCAGCAGCUUGACUCCUUCGAUGCCCUCGAGCUAUGUUGGUGCUCACCAAAGGAGUUUGUCUACUCCGUUAAGCAACUCCCCUUCACCUUCUCAACCGGCAGAGAAGCUUCAUUCUUCUUCUUUCAGCGGAGUUAAGUUUAACACUAUGAUGGCAAGUCAUGAGCAGAAUUCCAUGAAACCUACAAGUUAUCCAAGUUUUAAUGCCACAGGGUCGGCAUCAUCAACUUUGAAAUGCAAAUCAAGUCAGUCAUACAAUUUCUCCAACUUUAAGAUUAACUUCUCUUCGAAGAAGCUUGGUACUGCUGGUGAAGGAAUAACUCCACAUUGUGGCAACUGUCAGUACAGCAGAGGUAGGGAAAAACCCCCUCGCUUGAGCUUAAGCUCUUCUGUGAAACAUCAAAAUGUUCGUGACAAGGAAAUAAAUGGUGAUCUAAAGUCAGAAGGAUUUUUGAGGAAGGAAACUGGAGAAGAUUCAAAAGCGUCUUCCAGUAAUCAGGACCCUGUGGAAAGGUCUUCUUCAAUCAAGUCAUCUAGAAAUAAUUUGGUGGAGACUUCCUCAAUCCCAUCAACCAAAGUUAAAAAUUCUGAAUCGUUAAAGAGAACACGUGCAUCAUCGGAUCAAGAAAACCGAAGCAGUUCGGUAGAUAACAGGUUGCAACAAGUGUAUAUGGCUGUGAAAGACAGAACAGCCGUCAGAGAUGACAUGGAAGUACCCAGAAAGGAAAAUGCUUCAAAGUUGAGAAGCAAAUCAUGUUCGAGGCCAUCAGUUGGAGAAGAUUAUAGAAGCCUUAAUGGGUUUGUAAAUGGCAGUGAGUGUUGUGAAGACAAGAGAUGUGGAUCUGUGGAAUUGGUAGACAGACAUGACAAUGUCUCGGAUGCAUGCAUGGUGGAAUCUAGGUCGGCUGUAGACAUCUCCCCUGAUGAUGUUGUUGGAGUGAUAGGUGAGAAACUAUUCUGGAAAGCGAGAAGCGCUAUUAUCAAACAACAAACAGUGUUCGCACUGCAAGUGUUUGAGUUGCAUAGACUGAUUAAGGUACAAAGAAUGAUUGCUGGGUCACCGCAACUAUUGCUUGAAGAUAACCUUUAUUUGGGGAAGCGUUCAAUAAAAGUACCUCAAGUUAAGAAGUUGCUAUCUGACGAUGUUUCAGAACCUCCCGCUCCCCUGAUUGUUAAAGCCAAUGAUGAUUCUAUGAAGUCAAAUUAUGGGCUUUAUUCAGCAAAUCCACCUUUAGCUCCUCCUGUGACCAAACCAGCCGCAUGGUGUUUCCCCCCACCACCAGGAAAUCAGUGGUUAGUUCCUGCAAUGUCCCCAUCUGAAGGACUUAUUUACAAGCCCUACACGGGGUCAUAUCCUCCUCCAACUUCACCUUUCAUGUCAAACACUGUUUAUGGUGUUCCAGCUUCUCACCAAUGGUUUGGAAUUCUUCCGGGCACACGUCCUUUAGGCCAGACAUACUUUUCCUUGUAUGGGCUGCCAGUCAUGAAUCAAUCUCGAUCCAGUUCAGGCGUUGAGGAAACGAGCCCGUUUGCCGGAGCUCGGUCGAAUGGACCGGACAAUCAGUUGAUGGUCGGGGACAUCAACUUCACCAUGCCCCAGCAAAGCUCCUGUAACAUGUCGAGCGAGGUAACUCAAUCAAUCUCAUUUCAGGCUGGCAAGUUCCCAGCAUCAAAAGAGAGUGAGUUACAGGGAAGUGGAGCAAGUAGUCCCUCUGACAGGGUUAAAGGAGAUGAUGCACUUCCUCUUUUUCCUACAGCACCCACAGUUCACGCACUGGAUCAAAAUGUGCAAACUAUGGAGCAUCGGACACAAGUUAUAAAGGUUGUACCUCAUAAUCCAAUAUCAGCAACUCAAUCAGCAUUCCGGAUAUUUCGGUCAAUACAGGAAGAGAGGAAACAAGUAUGAUUAGUGGUCUCAUCUCGGAUAUUCUUCCCGCCUUUGUGCUGCUGACUCUGAUAUCUUAUUAGAGAAUAUUACUGGGAGGAUUAACUCUUGGCUUUCUCGCCACCUUUCUUUUGCUGGGAGAUUGCAACUUAUUUCUUAUGUUCUCUACAGUCUUCAAGUUUAUUGGAGUAGUAUUUUCAUCUUACCAAAGAAAAUUAUUCAAGCUAUUGAACAAAAAUUCAACCGAUUUCUUUGGAAUGGUAUAGACGAAGGCAUAGUUAGAGCUAAGGUCGUGUGAAACAUGCUUUGUUUACCUAAGAAAGGUGGGAUGGGUAUCAAAAAGCUUGAGAAGUGGAAUUGUGCGGCUAUAAUGUGAUAUAUUUGGAGUCUUUUUGUUAAAGCUGUCUCUCUAUGGAUAGCCGGGGUAGAGGCUAUUUUAUUGAAGGGGAGAAGCUUUUGGCAGGUAAGCAUCCCCAAGUCUGCACAUAGAAUUGGCGUAAACUGUUGAAAUUAAGGGAUGAAGCUCGACAUUUCAUUAAGCUUUUUGUUGGAGAUGGCUAUAAGAUUCAUAUGUGGUUUGAUGAUUGGUAGCCCAAUGGGGUUCUUCAUUUUAAUUAUGGGCCUCGUGUAGUUUAUGAUGCCCAAAGCAAGCUUGAUACUUGGCUUUCUAUGGUCAUCAAGGAUGGGCGGUGGGUGUGGAGGCCUGCAAGGUCUGAUAUGCUUGUUGAGAUUAAGAGUAAGCUGUGUUUGGUUUUGGUUGGUGGUUAGGAUACUCCUCAAUGGACUGUUUCGAAAUUUGCAAUUGAGUUUGGAAGCAUGCUAUGAGUCUUUGUAACGUCUUGAAGCCCUCUCACAAGGUGGGAUGAUAUUGUUGAUUUGGGGAUGCAGAGUUGGAAGAAUGCUAAGCUGAAAGCUUAUCUUUGCCGGUUGGUGUUUGUUUCUGUUGUUUAUAACCUUUAGAGAAACCGUAAUGCUAUCCGUUAUGUUAAUCAUCUCAAAACUGAAGAACAAUUGUUCAAACAGAUUGUAUGGGAUGUUAGAACUAUGAUUCUCUCUAAAGGUAAGUCUAAGGCCACUAAAAGAAAUGUUAUCAUUUGUAGGAUUUUAGGGUUUAUAAGGAUUUUAGUUUGAUUU